GACGAACGCUGGCGGCGUGCUUAACACAUGCAAGUCGAACGAUGAAGCCCAGCUUGCUGGGUGGAUUAGUGGCGAACGGGUGAGUAACACGUGGGCAACCUGCCCCAAACUCUGGGAUAACUCCUCGAAAGAGGUGCUAAUACCGGAUACGAACUAGACAGACAUCUGUACUAGUUGGAAAGUUUUUCGGUUUGGGAUGGGCCCGCGGCCUAUCAGCUUGUUGGUGAGGUAACGGCUCACCAAGGCUACGACGGGUAACCGGCCUGGGAGGGCGACCGGUCACACUGGGACUGAGACACGGCCCAGACUCCUACGGGAGGCAGCAGUGGGAAAUAUUGCGCAAUGGGCGAAAGCCUGACGCAGCGACGCCGCGUGAGGGAUGAAGGUCUUCGGAUCGUAAACCUCUUUCAGUAGGGACGAAGCGAAAGUGACGGUACCUAAAGAAGAAGCACCGGCUAACUACGUGCCAGCAGCCGCCGCAG
rnacentral:rRNA from 1 species